UACGUAGGGUGCAAGCGUUAAUCGGAAUUACUGGGCGUAAAGCGUGCGCAGGCGGUUGUGCAAGACCGAUGUGAAAUCCCCGGGCUUAACCUGGGAAUGGCAUUUGGGACUGCAAGGCUGGAGUGUGGCAGAGGAGACUGGAAUUCCCGGUGUAGCAGUGAAAUGCGUAGAUAUCGGGAGGAAUACCGAUGGCGAAGGCAGGUCUCUGGGCUGACACUGACGCUCAUGCACGAAAGCGUGGGGAGCAAACAGG
rnacentral:rRNA from 1 species